rnacentral:lncRNA from 1 species
UUAUCAAACUUGAAAAAGGUGUGACUAAAGUGGUUGAACCAACCCACCCACCCCUCUUUCACUCCAAACCUUUGUCUCUUUGUUUUACGCAGAAACCACUGUUUCUAUAUUUAUACAGGAAUGCAUAAACUACGUUUUAAGCCAGCGUAUAACCCAUAUACGGAGCCAAGUAUGGAAAUAUUUGGAUAUCACGAAGGUACCGUACAAUAAAAUAAUCAUCGUUAUUAUGUUUCCAGGGCUUGCAGUAUGGUGUACUACCUAAAACAGGGGUGCUAAAACUUUUACUCGGCAUUGUUAACAUUGUUGUAAAAUGACUUGUGCGGAGUUGUGCCUUUUAUUUUUCCAACCAGAGUUCAAUUCCUGUAGGAUGCGGUUGGCUGGUCACAAUUUCGCUCCAGUCGCACCAUAGGAGAAAAAUACUUCCAUUCCAGUUUCACUCAACUUACUGGAUCAACCUGUGAGAUAACAAUAGAUAAUCCAUGGCGCUAUCCAGUAUAAAUACAGUACAGUUAGUUUAUUAGUUUUGUAAAGUUCAUACCUUUUAGUAAAGUUCUUACAUUAAAAAAUCGAAAUCAAUCAAGUCACCUUUACUCGGUCGACUGACAUUAUGACGUGAUUAUAAAAUAGGUAUCGGCUAGAUUGUUGCAUGAAUAAUCGAUAAUCGGUAAUUUUCGAUUGUGAAAAAAUCGGUGAAUCACUACAGAAUUCUGUGAUUUGAUAAUUGAAAUUAGAACAUAUCUCAUCUAGGUUUAGGAAAAUGGGUUGAGGUUGGAAAUUCAGGUGUAUUCAGGCCAGAAAUGUUGCUACCAAUGGGACUUCCAGAAAAUUUAUCUGUCAUCGCAUGGGGCUUAUCUCUUGAAAG